rfam:Myotis davidii contig6219, whole genome shotgun sequence.
GGCAGUUCUCGGGUGGCGCAUCCUGGAAUCCAGCUCCCUCCUUUCUGGUUCUGUGGUUCAUCACCCGAGAACCACU